AUGAUCCCGGUGCUUGCAACCGGGUGAUUAGUGGCGAACGGGUGAGUAACACGUGAGUAACCUGCCACCCGAUCUGGGAUAAGCCCGGGAAACUGGGUCUAAUACCGGAUACUCACUUCCUUCCGCAUGGACGGGAACGUGGAAAGAUUCAUCGGUGGGGGAUGGACUUCUUGUUGGCCUAUCAGUUUGUCGGUGGGGUAAUGGCCUACCAAGGGCGACCGACGGGUAGCCGGCCUGAGGAGGGUUGACCAGGCCACAACUGGGGCACUGAGAACCACGGCCCAGACUUCCUACGGGAAGCCAAGCAAGUGGGGAAGUAUUGGCACAAUGGGCCGAAAGGCCCUGAUGCAGCGACAGCACC
rnacentral:rRNA from 1 species